ACGAACGCUGGCGGCGUGCUUAACACCUGCAAGUCGAACGGAAAGACCCUGCUUUUGUGGGGUGCUCGAGUGGCGAACGGGUGAGUAACACGUGAGUAACCUGCCCUUGACUUUGGGAUAACUUCAGGAAACUGGGGCUAAUACCGGAUAGGAGCUCCUGCUGCAUGGUGGGGGUUGGAAAGUUUCGGCGGUUGGGGAUGGACUCGCGGCUUAUCAGCUUGUUGGUGGGGUAGUGGCUUACCAAGGCUUUGACGGGUAGCCGGCCUGAGAGGGUGACCGGCCACAUUGGGACUGAGAUACGGCCCAGACUCCUACGGGAGGCAGCAGUGGGGAAUAUUGCACAAUGGGCGGAAGCCUGAUGCAGCAACGCCGCGUGCGGGAUGACGGCCUUCGGGUUGUAAACCGCUUUCGCCUGUGACGAAGCGUGAGUGACGGUAAUGGGUAAAGAAGCACCGGCUAACUACGUG
rnacentral:rRNA from 1 species